rnacentral:rRNA from 1 species
AAAUUGAAGAGUUUGAUCAUGGCUCAGAUUGAACGCUGGCGGCAGGCCUAACACAUGCAAGUCGAGCGGUAGCACAGAGAGCUUGCUCUCGGGUGACGAGCGGCGGACGGGUGAGUAAUGUCUGGGAAACUGCCUGAUGGAGGGGGAUAACUACUGGAAACGGUAGCUAAUACCGCAUAACGUCGCAAGACCAAAGUGGGGGACCUUCGGGCCUCAUGCCAUCAGAUGUGCCCAGAUGGGAUUAGCUAGUAGGUGGGGUAACGGCUCACCUAGGCGACGAUCCCUAGCUGGUCUGAGAGGAUGACCAGCCACACUGGAACUGAGACACGGUCCAGACUCCUACGGGAGGCAGCAGUGGGGAAUAUUGCACAAUGGGCGCAAGCCUGAUGCAGCCAUGCCGCGUGUGUGAAGAAGGCCUUCGGGUUGUAAAGCACUUUCAGCGGGGAGGAAGGCGAUAAGGUUAAUAACCUUGUCGAUUGACGUUACCCGCAGAAGAAGCACCGGCUAACUCCGUGCCAGCAGCCGCGGUAAUACGGAGGGUGCAAGCGUUAAUCGGAAUUACUGGGCGUAAAGCGCACGCAGGCGGUCUGUCAAGUCGGAUGUGAAAUCCCCGGGCUCAACCUGGGAACUGCAUUCGAAACUGGCAGGCUAGAGUCUUGUAGAGGGGGGUAGAAUUCCAGGUGUAGCGGUGAAAUGCGUAGAGAUCUGGAGGAAUACCGGUGGCGAAGGCGGCUCCCUGGACAAAGACUGACGCUCAGGUGCGAAAGCGUGGGGAGCAAACAGGAUUAGAUACCCGGUAGUCCACGCCGUAAACGAUGUCGAUUUGGAGGUUGUGCCCUUGAGGCGUGGCUUCCGGAGCUAACGCGUUAAAUCGACCGCCUGGGGAGUACGGCCGCAAGGUUAAAACUCAAAUGAAUUGACGGGGCCCGCACAAGCGGUGGAGCAUGUGGUUUAAUUCGAUGCAACGCGAAGAACCUUACCUGGUCUUGACAUCCACAGAACUUUCCAGAGAUGGAUUGGUGCCUUCGGGAACUGUGAGACAGGUGCUGCAUGGCUGUCGUCAGCUCGUGUUGUGAAAUGUUGGGUUAAGUCCCGCAACGAGCGCAACCCUUAUCCUUUGUUGCCAGCGGUUAGGCCGGGAACUCAAAGGAGACUGCCAGUGAUAAACUGGAGGAAGGUGGGGAUGACGUCAAGUCAUCAUGGCCCUUACGACCAGGGCUACACACGUGCUACAAUGGCAUAUACAAAGAGAAGCGACCUCGCGAGAGCAAGCGGACCUCAUAAAGUAUGUCGUAGUCCGGAUUGAGUCUGCAACUCGACUCCAUGAAGUCGGAAUCGCUAGUAAUCGUAGAUCAGAAUGCUACGGUGAAUACGUUCCCGGGCCUUGUACACACCGCCCGUCACACCAUGGGAGUGGGUUGCAAAAAGAAGUAGGUAGCUUAACCUUCGGGAGGGCGCUUACCACUUUGUGAUUCAUGACUGGGGUGAAGUCGUAACAAGGUAACCGUAGGGGAACCUGCGGUUGGAUCACCUCCUUACCUUAAAGAA